UGAGACCGGCUUUUUGGGAUUCGCUCCACCUUACGGUAUCGCAGCCCUCUGUACCGGCCAUUGUAGCAUGCGUGAAGCCCAAGACAUAAGGGGCAUGAUGAUUUGACGUCAUCCCCACCUUCCUCCGAGUUGACCCCGGCAGUCUCCCAUGAGUCCCCGGCAUAACCCGCUGGCAACAUAGGACGAGGGUUGCGCUCGUUGCGGGACUUAACCCAACAUCUCACGACACGAGCUGACGACAACCAUGCACCACCUGUGUACGAGUGUCCAAAGAGAACCCCGUCUCGGGGGCUUUCUCGUACAUGUCAAGCCUUGGUAAGGUUCUUCGCGUUGCAUCGAAUUAAUCCGCAUGCUCCGCCGCUUGUGCGGGCCCCCGUCAAUUCCUUUGAGUUUUAGCCUUGCGGCCGUACUCCCCAGGCGGGGCACUUAAUGCGUUAGCUGCGGCACGGAACUCGUGGAAUGAGCCCCACACCUAGUGCCCAACGUUUACGGCAUGGACUACCAGGGUAUCUAAUCCUGUUCGCUCCCCAUGCUUUCGCUCCUCAGCGUCAGUUGCGGCCCAGAGACCUGCCUUCGCCAUCGGUGUUCCUCCUGAUAUCUGCGCAUUCCACCGCUACACCAGGAAUUCCAGUCUCCCCUACCGCACUCUAGUCUGCCCGUACCCGAUGCAAGCCCGAGGUUGAGCCUCGGGAUUUCACACCAGACGCGACAGACCGCCUACGAGCUCUUUACGCCCAAUAAUUCCGGACAACGCUUGCGCCCUACGUAUUACCGCGGCUGCUGGCACGUAGUUAGCCGGCGCUUCUUCUGCAGGUACCGUCACUUGCGCUUCUUCCCUGCUGAAAGAGGUUUACAACCCGAAGGCCGUCAUCCCUCACGCGGCGUCGCUGCAUCAGGCUUGCGCCCAUUGUGCAAUAUUCCCCACUGCUGCCUCCCGUAGGAGUCUGGGCCGUGUCUCAGUCCCAGUGUGGCCGGUCGCCCUCUCAGGCCGGCUACCCGUCGACGCCUUGGUAGGCCUUCACCCCACCAACAAGCUGAUAGGCCGCGAGCCCAUCCCCCACCGAAAAACUUUCCAACCCACACCAUGCGAUGCGAGCUCAUAUCCGGUAUUAGACCCCGUUUCCAAGGCUUAUCCCGAAGUGGAGGGCAGGUUGCUCACGUGUUACUCACCCGUUCGCCACUGAUCCACCCAGCAAGCUGGGCUUCAC
rnacentral:rRNA from 1 species